rnacentral:ncRNA from 2 species
GUAGCCUAGCCGCUUCGAGGUUCUUCGGCGCUGGCCGAAGCUAAGACGGGAACGCGGUUCAAGCCGCGGCUGCCCCCGCAACUGUAAGCAUUGAACGGUUCGACACAGCCACUGCGUUCUGCGGGAAGGCGUCGUUCCAGCGGCCUUGGGCCGCAGCAGUGCAAGCCAGGAGACCUGCCUCGAACAGUUUCCGACA